ACUUCCCUCUCCCUAGUCUCCUGGGAGUGCAAAAAGCGCAACAUAGCCCCCCCUGGCCUCGCUGUUUUCAACGGUUCUCAGGUUGCCGGAGCGGCGUGUUUGAACCGUUAGAACCACAGGUUUGAACCACAGGCACCACAGGUUUGAACCGUUUCAACGGGAGUAAUGGCAAAACGGACGGAGUAGCACUGCGUGGCCUCGCAAUCCCAGCGACCCGACGAGCUCGCAAAGCGGUGCUCGGAAGACGACCCUCCCAAAGCCGACGACGCGCACUCACCUCUGUGGACAGCGAAGAAACAUCGUCGCACUGUGACAACGGCGACUAGUACACGGCAUAAGUACAAGUGCAUGAUUUGUGACAUGUGCUUCAAGAAAAUCUACCUAAAGGAGGUUCACGGGGACGCUGACACGAGCUGGAUCACACUGUCCGCUGCCGCCUUGCAUGCGAUCUGUGUCCAACAGCUUUUGCAUUCCAUUGGGGACUUGCUGCGCCACUUUGAAGCGAAACACGGGAUCGUCGCGAGGCGUGACAAGUUAAAGUUCAAUUUGUUGAAAGAAUUCAGCGACUGGAGGGAGGCUAAGGAUGGCAGAGAGCAUGUUCGCUUCAUUCUCCACGACGGACCCAAGGGACGAGAUGAGGGUGUCCUGAAAAGGUAUUACUACUGCCACCGCUCUGGAUCAUUUCAGAGCAAGAGGUAAAUGACAACUGAGAACCCAGGGCACUUGUAAGACUAAUGUGCAAUGCUUAGCCACAAUUCAAGCUGCAGAGAAAGAUGGCAAGGUGACAGUAGAGUACCAGGCAGAACACUACGGCCACCCGAAGGAACUGAAGCACCAGCGCCUCUUUACGACUGAGAAGGAGGCUUUAGCUGAUAAACUAAAGCAAGGCAUCCCCGCCCGUAAAGAUCUGGUAGACGCACAUUCUUCUGCUGGCAGUGAGAUGGGCAGGCUACAUUUGCUCUCAAUGAAAGACAUUGGCAACAUCUCCGCCGAGCAUGAAAUUCUGACGAAAGAGCUACGGCACUGAACAAAGUCAGAUUCCCCAGUCCUGUACUGACAUGGAGGAAGGAAAACAAAAAGAGCUUUGAGCUUGCCCUGAUGACUGUCCCUCAGAAAGAACGCCUCACAAAGCUUGGCCCCAAGUUUCUGUGCAUUGACUACACUCAUAAUAUAAAUGGCCACAAUCUGCAACUGAAGACUCAUGACAGCUGCAGAAGAUCAGUCAGGCAUGCCAUGCACAUAUUUGAUCUCAAAGUAACUAGACACCAAGGCUAUGAAACACUCCUUAAGGCCAUAAAGGUAAUGCAUGGGAGGAAGUGAUGGGCUGUGCCCAACAUUGGAUGCUCUGCUCGUGGCAUGUAAGCCACGACUGGGCUCUGAAGUUGCAGUCAGUCCAAGAUAUAAGCAAACCCGUGACCGUCUUUGCGACGAGUUGUGGGCGCUGAGAAAUUGCAAAGAUGAGGGUCAAUUCCAACGACCUCCGACAGGCUUCCCGUGACCUCCGACAGGCUUCCCGUGUCAGAAACUAAGUGAAGAGGCUGAUCCAAAACUAAUUCAACAAGUACAGGAGUUUCUUCAGUACUUUGGGCACUACCAUGGUGGCAGAGCCUAACAGUGGGCGCUCUGCUCCAGAAAGGGCAUUCCUUUUAAUACUACCAACCACUUGGAGGCAAUGUACAAGGACCUGAAGUCACGCUUAUGCAUGGAACUCACAACCAGAGGCUUGACAAGCUGUUGAUGAUCCUCUUCGAACUGAGCCGUGACCGGCUCUACAAGCGUCCCAAGUCGCUCGUAAAAGGAAAAACGAAUCGGCAUGAUGCAGCCCUUUUUCGGAGGCACCAGGAGGGGAUGAAAAUUCCAGCAUCAGAUGUAGAACAGCUGCAAAAUGGCAAUGGCUGACUUGUAAAGUCUCAGUCCCAGACAGAGAGAAGCUACCAUGUUGAGAAGGGCGACCCCCGCCAGAGUUGCGUGCUUCGUUGCAGGGACUGUGAUAUCUUUAUCGACAGUUACAAGUGCACUUGCAAUGACAGCCUGAUUUCAUCAUCAAUGUGCAAGCAUAUUCACGCAGUAGCUUACCUGGGGAUUCAUGUGACGACCGUGGAGGAGGCCGACACUGAGCCAGGUGUAGAAAUGCCAUCAACAACACUUGAAGCAACAGGCUUUACGUUAGAUGAUGAGCCACAGUCCCUCUUGGAUGACAUUCGGCAGGGUAUUGAGGUAGGGAUGGAGAAGACUCAACCAAAUUCAGAGGACAACAUAUGUUUAACAAUAAGUGGACUGAACAAGUCCCUCUCCAGGAAGAAAUUGACAAGCUCUUCAAGCUCCCUGGUGUUGAAAUACCGUACCAAGGCCCAAGAAGUACUUGACUCUGUUCCAGAUGAGACUUCUCCAAAACCUAGGGUAAUCCCUCACAACAAAAAGAUGGAAAAACAACCACGGUACUUUCCCCCCCAAAAAACGCCCUGGUUCUGGUCCCAUGCAUGGCAAACCUCCCACCAGCUUGGAGCAGCAGCACAUCAUGCAGGGCCUUGUAGCCAGGUGAGUUCCUACAGAAGGAGCAGCAUCCGCUCAGCUCCAUGUGGAUGUUCCGAGCAUGUCUGUGCUGGCCCUCAAGGAGCAUGACUACUUUGCAAAUCAGUAGUCGUGACAAUUGGACUACAAAAAAGGGGCAGUAUUCUUCUUGCAAAAAGGAAUGGCGUGUUGGACAGCUUGGAUUUCUUUCCACUUUGGAGAAUGUCACGAGAGGCUCGAGCUAAAGGCAAGAGGGGCAUCUCUUACCAUCCUCCAACAGGUUACGUUAGGCGAGGCAUUAUAUGCUGACCUUAAUCGUAACGCUUUUUUAACAACCGGGGAUUGGCAAUUUUAUUUCAGUUGAUACGGAACGGUUGUCUCUAAAUUAACGGGCAACCAUAGUGCCUCGAAAUGCUUGUUUAUAAGCGUGCCCCUCCAUGAAACCGGCACUCUUUUUUUUAGAUAGUAUUACUGCACGAGAAUGUGCAGCUUUUUCCGCUUUGGAGAAUGUCAAGAGGUGCUCGAGUUCGCCAUUCUCCAACAGGUGGCUUAUGUUAUCAGCUGGUCUUAAUUGGAAAAGUUUUAAUGGCCAGAGCUUGCCAAUUUAAUUUCAAAUUUAUGCAGACAGGUUACCUCUAAGUUAAUGAGUAACCAUAAUACCUCAAGUUGCCUGUUACAUGCUUAUUUUUUAUUUUGCAUACUGCUGCACGGGAAUGUGAAAGUUGCAGUUCCCGCGACAUACCAAAUUAUUUUAGUAUAUGACUUAUAUGCUUUAGGAUAUAAUCGUUUUCUUGCUAAUAAGUGCCUAUAAUCACUGUUUCAUUGUUUUGUGAGCCAAGAGGGAGUGACCACUGGCGACCACAAGCAUGAGGAUCUGCUACAGGAAGCAUAAUCAUGUACCUGGACCUCGAGACCGGUGGCCUUGGAGAUGUCAGCAAGGCUACGGGGUGAUUUGCUCACCGCGAGGCUGUGCAAUUUAGUGGCAUGGAACUAGUGCCUCAUUUCGGAGAUCUCCAUGGCGAGUGAACAGUGCAAGGCUGGUGGGGCAAGAAGUUUAUUGGAAGGUUUUGUCAUGCCAUGGUGAUCAACAUUCAUGACAGGUUCAUCUGCCGAACUAGCUAUGCAAUAGAGGCAAGCCUGCUAAGUCACUGGGAUUAGUCGUCAGUGUGUGGCGCAGAGGACUUCUAGGGACAAGUCCAGGAGACGAACAUGCAAUAUUUAUAUUCUGUCUAUAUUUUGGUGAACCAAUGUUACUGUUGACAUUGAAGUGUGGGACAUUUCGCUUCUGCGGCAAAAGAUGUCAGGUGUGUAAUGGGGUCCCACAAAAAAUACCUAUGCUUUGUCUUGAGCUAUGUUCAUAGAGACAUGGCAAGGGGGGGCCAGAAGACUGAUGAAAGUUGUGCCGGUGAUGGUCACAGUUUGGGAGAUGUUGCGGAUGGCUAUGUGAUGGGGUGCUGUGACCUUUGAUGGACAACUGUUUCACUGAGUCAAACUGUGGCAGUGUUUCUGCUAUCUUGAGAGGCAGCAUGGUAACGCAUCAACACAGUGACAGAUUUUACUUUAAACUCAAAAUGGGGCACAGGAAUAAAACAACUUGCUUGCCUCAUCGAGGCACGUCUUCAAAUGUGAACUAAUAUCUUGUCUUUUCAGGACCACCUUUUCUUUCUUUAUUUUUUUUUUUUCAUAUUUUUUUUUAUGUCUAGGCAAAAGAAUCAUGUUAAGGUCCGUUCACACUCUUGCAACCGAGUACAACCGAAAGAGACGAGACUGGUUUGUAAGCCUUUUCGGACCUCUUAGGACCGGAUGCGCUGCAGUGGAGCUGGUCCUAAGACGAGACUUGUUAAAACCUCUUAAAAUUUCUUGGGACGAGAGAACACGUUUUGUAAUUUUCCAAGAAAAAACCGACCUGUGAAAUACACCUUUGACGAAAAGUUUAGAUUGCUACGUGCAGGCGUUAAUUUUUACGGUCCAUUUUAGGUCAAGCCUGGCGGCUUGGACCACCCUUUAUUUGUAAAAGGUUCAUAAAAGUGUUCACUGCAAACGCAUAUCACCAAUCUUAAUAAUUAAUGAGUCAUAUUUUGACCAGUGGAAAAACCACAUCUUUAUUUUCACUCGAUUUGGGUAUGUUUACGAUAAAUAAAUAUUGAGCGAGUAAAAUACAAUUAAAAAAUUGGGUUUGUAGAACAAGUAAUAAAUAAUGGGCCAAUUGGUUACGGACGCCAGCAAUUGACUCCGUAAGUGUGACGUCAUGAGUCCAAACAAACCGUUGCUAGGGUCGAUGUUGACAAAUACAUGUGGCUAGGUUUCGCUACAAAAACCCGACUGUUCAUAAAUCAGGAGUAGGAUUUAAACUUCUAAAAUCACAGAUAUAGCAAGCUUGUAUGUUUAAACAGAAGUGUGCGAAUAAUCGCUUGUUUGUGGAAUAAUUACAACUACAACUUCCGGUCUUCAAGAUGCCUGCAGCGGAGUACGAAUACAAGAAGUAUGCCGUCUGCCACAAGCUGGCGCCAUCGUUUGAAUUGUGUGAAUAAAGACUAUAUUCUGAUAUUGUA
rnacentral:lncRNA from 1 species